UGUGAAGUCUGGUUUAGUUCUAAGGUCCACAGAAGGACUCAUGUAAUAAAGAAGGAAGGUGGCAUAGAUUGCGAAAGCGAGUUGAAGGAAGGUACUCCUCACUUCUUAAACUUGGAUUUCGAAGCAAACCCAUUUUUGAAGACUCCAGCUUCAGAAGAAAGGCUUCUGCUUGAUGCAUAGAAAUUGGGAAGAGCAAGUGAAGCAGUGGAGCUUACUUGGGAUGUGAGAGAUUUGAGUAAAGAAAGCCAGUACUGUUAUCUGCGCACAUUGUCAUUCAUUCCUCUUACUUCUUCUGUGCACUAAUGAAGUGCAGAUUUCAAGCAGAAGAAUUGGGGAGGAAGUAACCAUUUGGGAUCUGCGCCUUCUUAAUUUGGAAUAUUUAAAGAUGGACUUUGUAAAACUGUUUAGUGAUGAGCUGGUUUUUUAUUUUUUAUUUUUUUUUUAUUUUUUUCUGAAAUAUUUACA